rnacentral:rRNA from 1 species
GAUGAAUGCUGGCGGCGUGCCUAACACAUGCAAGUCGAGCGGCAGCGCGGUCUUCGGACUGGCGGCGAGCGGCGGACGGCUGAGUAACGCGUGGGAACAUACCCCAAAGUGAGGGAUAACCGCCCGAAAGGGUGGCUAAUACCGCAUAUGAUCUUCGGAUUAAAGGAUUUAUCCGCUUUGGGAAUGGCCUGCGUACGAUUAGAUAGUUGGUGAGGUAAAGGCUUACCAAGUCUACGAUCGUUAACUGGUCUGAGAGGAUGAUCAGUCAGACUGGAACUGAGACACGGUCCAGACUCCUACGGGAGGCAGCAGUGAGGAAUCUUCCACAAUGGGCGAAAGCCUGAUGGAGCAACGCCGCGUGCAGGAUGAAGACCUUCGGGUCGUAAACUGCUUUUAUAAGUGAAGAAUAUGACGGUAACUUAUGAAUAAGCACCGGCUAACUACGUGCCAGCAGCCGCUGUAA